UUUUGUCCAUUUAAGCAAAUAGUCAACAUAAAUUUUAAUUUCCGAGCUGAUUAUAAAUUUUAUUAUAUAUGUAUUGUUUAAAUUUUAUAAAUUAUACAAAAUGAACUGCAAAUGACAGCAUGCUAAUUGAUAUCUCCGUCGGGCACUUUCUUUUGAACGUCUAUUGAUUUUUUUCCCGACUAUAAGUUUGGUAUAUAUUGACCGAAGUCGCAUUUGACCUUUCUUUUGAUUCAAAAUUAAAAACAACUUUAAGGAAAACGAGGAAUGUAAGAGCAUGUGCAUUGGGGUCUCUUAGAUGGGUUUGUUAAGGAAAUUAGCAAUUAAAAGAAAAGAUAAAUUGCCAUUAACUUAAGGGACGUAUUCUAAAUAGGGGUGGAAGCAACGCCUCUUGUGGGCCACGUGUUGGUACAGUAUUGGAGGUGUGAUUUUGAGAGAAAAACAAAAGAUGAAGGCGACGAAGAAGACGGUGGAUUCCGCGAGAAAGAGUCUCGGUGCUCUCACCGUGGAAGAAUCUCGUCUGUGGCUUUCGUAACCGAAAAAUCGUCGGAGAGUUUCGUCGACGACCAAUUUCCGUGGCUCUCCUCGACGAAGAACCUCGGUGGCGUUGCUCGUAGAAGAAUCUCGGUGGCUAUGAGCGUCGGAGAAUCUCUGUGGCUCUCCUCGACGGAGGAAAUCGGUGGCUCUCCUUUACAAACAAACUCCUCGGUCGGCGCCAAGUUAAAUCGAAAGCUCUUCCCUCACAUGGCAAGUAAGAACCACAGAGAUUGAGAAGAAGGAAGAAAGAACCGAUAGUGGUUUGUUUUGGCGAGGAACAAUGGCGGAGCUGCGUCACUCCAGCUCUUGGAAGCCUUGCACUGAGCGGCGCAUUGGUGGAGUCUCUGAUGUUCUCUCCUUUCGCUGCCCUAUCAUGGAUCAAUAUGAGUUAUGGCUUCUUUUUCUUUUUGUAGUUCUGUAAUGCAGUUGUUGUUGCCAAGAUUAAGAAUGCAACUCUGAUUCUACUAGUACUGAAGCAGGACCAAAUCGUUAAGACACUGGAGACCAUCAAAAGAGUGAGUCCGAGAAGGGCUCUAUUAAUGGGAAUGGCUCAGGUGUUUGGUCACCACAAAUCUUUCAGGUAAAACUUUUCUUCUGGUCAGCUCUUGUAGUUUUGUGAUCAGGCUCUAGUAGUUUUGUGGUCAGCUCUUGUAGUUUUGUGGCCAGGCUCUUGUAAUUUUGUGGUCAGGCUCUUGUAGUUUUGUGGUAGGGCUCUUGUAAUUUUGUGGUCAGCUCUUGUAGUCUGCUGCUUGUUUUGUAGUGGACUUGGUUUUGUUGUAUCACGUGUGUAUCAAACCUUUUGAUCUUGUUUUGUUGUAUCACAGACCGUUUGUUGUAAUGAAAGCAUCAGUCAUCAUCUCUC